AAUUACACGCAGCCCGACUUGAGCGGAAAUCCUUUUUUGCUUGGUGUUUAAGUUCUAUUUAAACUGAAAUCGUCUGCAAAAAAGAUUGGGAGCGGAAGGCGGAAAUAGUU
rnacentral:sRNA from 1 species